UCUCCUGCUAAGUGGUGUGAAAAAAAGGCGAAGAGGAGCAACACAAGGGAGUUUCCAGGGGGAGGAGAGAGGGCAUCUUCACAGUAAUGGCUGCCAUCCAACAGACAAGAACUGCUGUCAUCACCGCUCCUUCAAUGUGGUUUGUAUGAGAAGUGUUGGUACACUGUCACCAAGGUUCACUCGGCAUGUGUCCCGACCACACAAACAUGAGUAUCAUACAACAUGGCCGCCAGGGAGAGAUUGCUGUGGAGCCAGAUCUCUCUUCCCCAGCGGGAACUCUCUACACUAAAAGCUCCUCUCAAGCAUCGCUUCAUCCAUCGGCUGUCCCAGCACCAGCCCAAGGAGGAUGGGUUCCCCCAAAAGCCCGGGUCCUCCUGAGGUUUCUUCCAGCUUCCAGCUGGGAGUUUUUCCUUGCCACCGUCGCCUUCGGCUUGCUUUUGGGGGCAUGAGGACAGCAUAA